AUAAAGUGACUGGAAAUGAAAAAAAAAGGAAGGAAAAGCAGCGGACUGACUCGGCAUCUCUUUGGCCUUUUUCUUCUGUGUUUGUUUUCUACUCUCUCUCUCUCUCUCUC
rnacentral:ribozyme from 1 species